CUUCAUUGCGCGCUUCCUUGGCGUCGGCCUGUGGGCUCCCCUUCGAAGUCGUUCUUGACGCUUGAACACCCAUGGACGCAGGGUCUGAGCAGUGUGUCGUGCGGGUAACGGGCGAGGUUAAACCUCGGUAAAGGCGCAAGGGAAUGCUGGAUUGGUUGGGGGCAUUCUACUCGCAUUAUUAGACGUGUGGGUAUAUCGCAGAGUGUACAGUUAAAUGUGAGUGGUAGUAUACGCUAUUAUGCAGUACGCGCACUUGGAAUUAAGGAGCCGUAGGAGGUUGGUCGUACGACCGAGAUUGCUGGCCGCGCCGCGUGGACCGAGUUCUUACUUUCUCUGGUGAAGGGUGUCUGGGAUCGUGGAGAGCCAUAGGACCCUCGGGUCGGCUGGGACCCGAAAAGUGGUGACACUAUGCCUGAGCGGAAAAUGGGGCGAAGGGCCAUAAGGGACACUCAUGGUGGAACGGCCCGCAGCGGAUACUUGCCCAAGACAGAUGAUGCAAUAACGUUCAUUCGUACCUUCCAGAAUUUCUGAACUGGUCUGUGGAGUAAUAGGGGCGAUAAGACUAAUACGAGAAAACCAGUCUUAGGAUAAGCUGGUUUCCCAGGCUUAUGCGGUUCCGAGGUUUCCCCUAGAUAGCUGGAGGCCAGCCGAGGGAGCGAGUUCUAUCGGGUAACGCCAAUGAUUAGAGGGCAGUCGGCCGGGCGGCACGCACAUCAGAGGCCUCAUGCUGGUAGAGACCUAUUACAUACGAAACUUUAAAUAGGCUAGGACGGUGUGGCCUGCUUUGUUUCCGAGCCAUGCCAUGGAAUCGAGAGCUCCAAGUGGGCCAUUUUUUGUAAGCAGAACUGGCGAUGCGGGAUGAACCGGAAGCUGGGUUACGGUGCCCAACUGCGCGCUAACCUAGACCCCACAAAGGGUGUUGGUCGAUUAAGACAGCAGGACGGUGGUCAUGGAAGUCGAAAUCCGCUAAGGAGUGUGUAACAACUCCCCUGCCGAAUCAACUAGCCCCGAAAAUGGAUGGCGCUAAAGCGCGCGACCUAUACCCGGCCGUUGGGGCAAGGGCCAGGCCCCGAUGAGUAGGAGGGCGCGGCGUUCGCUGCAAAACCCGGGGCGCGAGCCUGGGCGGAGCGGUUGAACGAGGUCGGGUGACCAUAGUACUCCCUUCUUGAUUCUAAGCCUAAUAUCCGGCGUAGAAUAGCAAAAUAUUCUAUCAAUAUUCGAAACUUGAAGGCCGAAGAGGGGAAAGGUUUCCAUGUGAACGGCACUUGCACAUGGGUUAGUCGAUUCCCCUAAAGGGACGGGGAGCCCGUCUGAUAGCGCUUAAGCGGCGGUACACCGAAAAGGAAUCGGGCUAUUAAGGGUGUUUCUUUUUAAAAAUUCCUGGACCGGCGACCGUUGCGGUGGCGCACUGGCAACCGUUUGAUAGGGAGGUCCAGCGAGACGUAUGGCGGGGGCCCCGGAAAGAAGUUAUCUUUUUCUGUUUCACAGCCCUGUGCCCACGCCUGGAAACGGCUCAGAGCCGGACGGAGGGAGUCCAGCGGCUGGAGCGCACAAAAGAGCAGCACGUCGUGCUGGGUGUUCCGUGUGGCCCCUUGGCGCCCUUGAAAAAUACCGGAGGACCGAGGUGGCCUUUUCCGUCGCCGGUCGUACUCAUAACCGCCAUCAGUUCUCCAAGGUGGAACAGCCUGCUGGUCGAUGGAACAAUGUAGGCAAGGGAAGUCGGGCAAAAUGGAUCCCGUAAAAACCUCGGGAAAAGGAAUUGGCCUGAGGGCUGGGCGACGGGCGGGGCCAGGGGUCCCCAGUUUCGAAUCCCGUCGUGCCUGUUGGUGGACUGCUUGAGCUGCUCCCGCGGCGAGAGCGGGUCGCCGCGUGCCGGUCGGGGGACGGAUUGGGAACGGGGCCUUCGGGGCCUCUUCCCCGGGCAUCGAACUACGAUUCAACUCAAACUGGUACGGACAAGGGGGAUCCGACUGUUAAUAUAAACAAAGCAUUGCGAUGGUUCCCUGCGGAUGUUGACGCCAUGUGAUUUCCUGCCCAGUGCUCUGACAUGUCAAAGUGAAGAAAUUCAACCAAGCGCGGGUAAAAGGCGGGAGUACUAUGACUCUCUAAGGUAGCCAAAUGCCUCGUCAUCUAAUUAGUGACGCGCAUGAAUGGAUUAACGAGAUUC
rnacentral:rRNA from 1 species